rnacentral:rRNA from 1 species
AGUGAACGCUGGCGGUAGGCCUAACACAUGCAAGUCGAACGGCAGCACAGUAAGAGCUUGCUCUUACGGGUGGCGAGUGGCGGACGGGUGAGGAAUACAUCGGAAUCUACUUUUUCGUGGGGGAUAACGUAGGGAAACUUACGCUAAUACCGCAUACGACCUACGGGUGAAAGCAGGGGAUCUUCGGACCUUGCGCGAUUGAAUGAGCCGAUGUGGGAUUAGCUAGUUGGCGGGGUAAAGGCCCACCAAGGCGACGAUCCGUAGCUGGCCUGGGAGGAUGAGCAGCAACAGUGGGAAUGAGACACGGUCCAGAAUCCUAAGGGAGGCAGGAGAGGGGAAUAUUAGAAGAAGGGCACAAGCCUUAUCCAGCCAUAACGCGUGGGUGAAGAAGGCCUUCACGUUGUAAAGCCCUUUUGUUCGGACAGAAAAUCAGCAGGUUAAUACCCCGCUGUUCUGACGGUACCCAAAGAAUAAGCACCGGCUAACUUCGUG